UUGGGUUGACCAAAACGUUCAUUCUGAUUUUUCCAUGUAAUCUUAUGGAAAAACCAGAAUGAACGUUUUGGCCAACCCAA
rnacentral:miRNA from 1 species